ensembl:lncRNA
CACUAUAUGUAAUUACAGCGCUUGACGUGGCACACGGAAAGAGCACCCAGAUGCUGAGAGGGGGAAAAAAAAAGAAAACAACCAGCAAUGCACGGCCAAGACAAGAGCAUUCUCAUGGAUACACCUGAAGCUGAAGCUGUGCCCCACGGCGGCUGCAUCAGCAUCGACCUCACUGCCCAUAACCUUAAUUGCUGAUAAACAGCAGACAGGAACGCGAGCCCCUGUGUUCCUAAAAGGAAUUUAAUAAAGGGGGAACACAGGGGAUUUAUUGCUUGAUUCACGCUGCUGGAGGCUGCCCACUGCAGCCCCACACAGCCCCGGCCCGGCCGAGAUCUGCUGUCAUGCACUGUGAUUUCGGGCUGCCUUUCCUUUCCUCCAGCACACCAGGUUAUUUAUGUCUGAUUAUCUCUCUAUUGCAUAACCAGGGUUUCCUCCCCACACACAGGAAGAUUUUGUUCAUUAAUUAUUAGAUUUCAGCCCCCGAAGAGCAAAUUAAGGGACAUGAAUAUGCAAAUCUAAUGCUUAUAAACUGAUACAACUGGAGCUGCAUCCGGGGGGGGAUCAAAGCUGUGCUGACAUUUGUCUCCCAACUCUGUGCCUUCUUUUCCCCCCUCUUCUGACUUCCUCUCAUUUGUUUUUUUUUUUUUUUUUUUUGCACCAGAGAGAGGUAAAAAUAGACCUGGGAGAUGCUUGUAAAAACUUCUGAGAUCUAUUAAAGCAGGAGAUUAUCGCUACAAAAAUAAGGUAUAAUAACACGGAAUUGACUUACAACAACAAAAAUCCCAGCUCAUAUGUGGGAGUGUUCCAAACUUUGUCCUUUUGGAUGCAUCCUCCUGUUGCCAUGGAAACAGGGCAGUCUGUGGGCUGUCGGCAUUUCCAGCCCUUCUCAAAGAGCCGGAGCAGUGUCUGUGUUUCUCCUUGCCUCCCUCCUCCCCAGCCGUGGCUUUGGGGCAGCCCGGCCCCACCGCUGUGAUGGCAGCUCCCAGAGUGACCCAGUAUCACCUCAUCCAUGCCAGCAUCCCUCCCAGGCACCGCCUUCAGCUGCAGUUCGAUCCAACGGACAUCCAGGAUGCAAGACUCCCCCAAUGCAUCCACGCAUCCCCAACCCAUCCGCACGUCCCCAACCCAUCCGCACGUCCCCAUUGAGCACCGCUGCAGACGUGGAGCGGCGAUACGAGCAUGUCUGCCACGGGGAAGUGACGGAGCAGAGCAGACUGCUUGGGAACGCGCUGCAUGGCACGAACCGUGCAGCAUCACAGAUGGCCUCAAUUUGGGGCUGUAACUUCACCAAACAAGCUAUUUCCACAAUUUAAGCCCUUCCAAUUUCACUCUUGGGAAUCCUGCGGAAUAGAGAGGAAAGUAAAUUAAAUGAGCUGUCUGCCUUGCUUCCCGACUGGUGCCUGCUUUGCAAAAGAGUUCUCUGCAGUCCAUGCAGGGUCAGCCCUACAGUGGAGUGGGAGCUCGGGGGGGGGAGGAGUUGCUUGGGACCCAAAAUCACCAGGAGGAUCUCAUCCCACAGACUGCACAGAGAACACUCGCAGAGGGAAUACAGGAUGCUGAGGGAGCAGAGCCCAGCACGAUGCCCCACGGUCACAGGAAUUGAAACAGGGACCUCCAGAGUGGAAGAAGUGAGGCAAUAUCAUAAAAGAGGGAGAAAAGAGGGAAAAUGUUGAAUUCUGCACGUAGGAAAGAAUGUUUUUAACAAGUAUUCCAUUAGCUGCCAGCAGGAUUAUUUUUUUCUUAGCAUGCUGAAGUGUUCAGUGAGCUUCAAAGGGAGCUUCACGGCAGCUUGGAUGCUGCACUCCCAUCUGUGCAAUGCCACAUUCAAAUUAACAGCGAAGCAAGAGCAGCCCCUGCCCCAAUUAACUCUCCCAGCUCCCUUCCUAAGCCUUCCAUUUCCUCUUUGCUGUUGGGUUUGGUUGGUUUCUAUGCAUCCAGUGGGAGGCUCUGCAUCCCUCUGCAGCCACCUUACACGGGUGUUCGCAGGGGAGGGGAGGGAACCAUCCCCAGGGACUAUUGCUGAGCAUUUUCUCUUUAUAAACACAGGAGAAAAACACCUUCUUGGCAUCCGGACUGGAUGCAAAUUAGGUCAGUGCUACUGGGACCUGCAUCACUGUAAUUAUCGCGAGGAAUUACAGCUGGCAUCCUCUCUUGACAAGAGGGCUCAAAAACAAGCAUUGGAAGUGAGAUGAGCCUGCGUUUACCAACCGCCCCACUGGCCAACCUGGCACCCCACCACGGAGCCCCUCACUCACAGCACUUUGGAGCAGGAGACAAAAGGAAAGCAGUGAUGGACCAAGCACCGGGUACCAGGGAGCUCCCAGACACCAGAGUUUCCACAUGGGGUUUGUGUGGAACCCAUCACCACACUCGGGACCUGGAGCAGCCGCAGCAACGCUGAGCCCAUCUGCUCUCCCCAUCUCAGAUCUGGAGCACGAUGCCUCCCUGCACCUCGAGGUCCAGAGGCUGCUCAGCAUGGGCAGAGCUUAAAAGCGCUAAAAAAAAGAAAAAGAAAUUUACCAAACCACUUCUUAGCUAAAUUAUGCCGCACUUUAGAAGAUUAAAGAUUGUACAAAAGCCCAAAGCCUCCAAGUUAUCGGUCUCUGGGAAAAAAAAUAUGAGCUCGCAGAAGCUGUGCUAUAGAUGCUUUCGGAGCAUUGGACGUAAUGGAUUUCAUCAUUCCCUCCCGCAGAUUGAAAUAAAACAGCCCCUUCAUGCA